GUAAAUAAACAUUACGCGCAGCGAUCCCUUUGUUUCGUUGGUGGAUUUAAAUACCCCGCGAAAGAUAUAAAGAUUGAUUGGUUAAUUAAAAUGAAUAUGCAACAGAUUACCAAAUAAGGCUCUACAAACACCAAUGAAGCUAUGUACGGUCGACAGUUGCCAUCUAGCGUGCACAAAUUCUGAUAAUGUGUGUUUUUUAUGCAGCGUGUGACUUGUGACCUGGUUCGAUUUAGCGUUUUUGUGCCGUCAUUUCCACUUCGAGAAAACAUCAUUUUUAAACUAAAAUGCAGUUUUGUGACGCAUACUUGGUCAAUCUAUCAAUAAAUGGGUUAUCUAGGUUCACGUUGAUAUAGACGAAAGGUUCGGGUCGACAUGCUUUCGUGAGAUUUUAGCCAAUAUUGAGGGUGAAUAAAACAGGAAUUCGUCAAGUCGCGACGUACGAAGUGUACAUGCAGUGUCAUGGCGUGACGAGUGGGGACCUUCGUGGCCAUGUUUUGGCAUGAUUUCGGAGAUUCAGACGGAAAUCUCAAAGACCUAUUGGUUGUCUCUCGGACGCUGUGGAGGAGGUUGGCCUACAUUUCUUCUUAUGCGGAGUGUACGGCAUUCCACCAUGACACGCAGAUGACGUACCCUGCCCUGACGAAGGAUACCUUCAGAAAAUUUGACAACUUUCAUCGGUUUGAAGAGUUUCUUCCUAUUUCUGGAUUGAAGAUGGCAACGACAUGCAUGGCCUCGUAUAAUGGACGAGCUUUGGAUUCCUCCGCAUCUGAUCUGUACUACCCACCCAUUGCGAUUGAACUCCUUAUCAGUUCCUGACCAUGCCAUGACAUGGCCAUGUUCAUUCAAACUGCCCAACCCCCACUCUGAACCUUUCUAAAUAGUCCAUGGUGAGGAGUACAUGUACAUGUAUUUUCAGUGUGAUCUGAAUUGGGAGUGGUAGGUGUAGUCUGUUCGCUGCCUCCCUGUCCCAGAUGCUUGAAUAACAUAGUUGACGUAAACAUUUCAUAAUGAAUAACUUACUGCCGGGGGAAUUGAGAAAGUUUGGGAAUUUAGGAGAUAACUGGAGGUAAUCAUUGAUCAGGACAGUUUCUGUUUUGUUGUUAAUGCCAUUUCAGAUGGUAUAUAUCUUGUCAAUGUCACCACAAACUGACACUUGCGCACACAUGAGUGCGCUGCACGCGUGCGUAUUUACAGAUUCGGGAUAUUUUGGGUUUCACGAACUGACAUCCUCCACAGUGCGACACUUUUAGAGUGCACCCAUGCAUUUUGGGUUUCACGAACUGACACCGAUCUUAAUUUUAACCAAUUAAAUCCCUUUUUAAUGAAAAAUUUGUACAUGUUUAAUCACACAAGUACACGGAUAGAUGUAUUGCCGCAUCAUGCUUGGGUGUCAGUUCGUGAAAACAAAAAUUGUACAAAUAUGCCUUGUUGCCUCUAAAAGUGCCGCUCUGUGGCGGAUGUCAGUUCGUAAAACCCAAAAUAUCCCGGUUCUGUAAACACGCGCGCUUACAGCGCACACACGGGUGCGAGAGUGUCGUUCAUAGUGAUGAUGACAAUCUGUACCUGAUUUCACGACACUUAUUGUAACCUACGAUGCAUCGUUGUAUCCCUAGGAUGACGCAUCCUGUGAUUCAUUUCACAAAAUAUGCUGUAAGUGCGACACGUCGUAGUGUAUUCAAAGGACAAACGGUGACUGCAUGUACAUGUACAUGUAUUUUCAUGUUAUGUAUUUAUUCAAAGAACAGUAAAUAGUCGUCGAAAAGUCAACAAAGAGUCGUUAAUUGUACUUGUUAAAACUUUUCUAAAAUAUUUAACAAAAUUGACGAUGUAUGAUGCAUUCACACUGGAAAAGAACUUCACAGUUGACUGUGUUUGCAUCAAAUUGUGAAGUGAUGUAGUGCUUUGUAAAUCUGGUGCAGGUCAUCCAGGUACGUGUACACGUACAUUUGUGAAAAUUUAAUAAAGCGAAAAUUGAAACCUGAAAUUUCCAUCACCACCACUCAUGAAAUAGUGCAGUUGAACUGCAAGCUCCUUUCUCCAACAAAAUAUUAAUAAUAAAUAAAUAUAAAAAAACCUUUACUGUCUUCAGGUGUGAGGGUAUGCUUAAAUCCAUUUGCCCUUUCAUAAAGUUGAAUUUUUGAAUCACUUUCUUGAAUCUACUGCAACUACCCUAUUUAAUUUUUCAGACUUUUCAUAGUUUUAUCACUUGCCAAACCUGAUUUCACAAGUUGAGUUCAUGCAUGCAUUACAUGUGCACUUUAUUUACUUGUAAAAUAUGGCUGUUGUGAAGUUUCACUUCUGUAAAUGAAACUUUUUAUUUUAAAUGAUAUGGAUUGGUUGUGAAAUAAAGAAUGCGUUUAUUGCCAAACAAAAACCUGUUUGUUAUUGUUUUGUUUAAGCUAUAGAUCCCAUUAAUUGUCAGCAACUUCCCCCAGAAUAUUAAGAGGAUAGAGUGUCUCAUACUGAUGUCAAAUUCAUGCUUGGUUUUGGAUUGUGCUGCUUUAAUAUGCUGUACAAGUUACAACACUCACUCACUCACUAGCUCACUGUACAUGUACAACACUAAACAUUUGUGAAUUUCGGAUUGUGAGUUUAUUUUGUCCACAGUGAGUGUUUUCAUCUAAAGAAAGAUGGUUCUUUAUUUCUAUGUAAUCUGUUUUGCACUGUAUGUAUUUUUAAAUUUUAUUCAAUGUCUUGCGAUUGUCCGUAAAAUCUAAUUCUACCUCCAUGGUUUUACGUACACAUGUACAUGUACAUAUGUGUACACGUUGUACGGCGCUUUUGUGUACACAACACACGCGGCGCUAGGCCAGUUGGUACCCGCGCGCCAGUUUGCAUGUAUUAGUGGGAUACUAGAUCGUGAACCAGCGAUGCAGCAGCCCAAAUUCUCUGCGAAGCUUUGGAAUUGUAGUCUGACUUUCAACGUCUAUAUUUUAUUUUAAAAUGUCGACCCGACCAAGAAAAAGUAUGAUUUGGCUAUUUUCAUAACUGAAUAAUCGUACCAACAUAAAGAUUUCUUCUGAAAAACUGCGUUUCGCUUUCUUGAAGGGCUUUUAAAAGUCUUCGAUACGCGAAUAAAUUCAUCCCGCUUUGCAAAAAUGUUGGCGAAAAUUCCCCUAAAACACACCUUGGCAUAUAAAUUAUACCCUUUUCUCAUUUAUUUCCUAAAGAAAACAUCAUAUCCCGUCAUUGCCGGUCAUUUAUGAUAAUAAAACGUAUUUCUAAAGUGUCUAAUUUUGACAAUAUUUGGGACGAAACAUCGAUGUUUUUUUCUGUAUGUGGACGGCGCCAUGUUGUGUGACGUCACCGGCAUCAUUGGAGUUCACAAAUACAGAACUAACGCAUUACAGACACUUUGUGUGUGUGCGCGCUAUGCAUGUGGAACUGCCGUGUAGCCUG
rnacentral:lncRNA from 1 species